CUCUCCCUCAGUCUCACUUAAGGACACCUCAGUCUCCCUCAGUACAGCUGAUCCAGUAUCAGUGGGCAGUUGUGUGAAUCUGAACUACAGCCAAACAUCCUGUGACAAACUUUACCUGGUUCCAGAUCAGUGGGGGUAAACCAGCCCGGGUAGCAUCUGGACAGACGCCCUCAAUGUGACUGUUGGUGAUGGAGGGCUGUACUACUGUGAAGCAAGAGAUGAUCACAGCAUUGAGAAUUCAAUGAAAGUGCAGCUAGCUAUUGAAGGAGGAGAAAAUCCAGGACUUUUAGGGUGAUGUGACCACACCGAUGGCAAUACCACAUCCUAACUCCCUGUUUGGGACGGUGCACACUAACCAGCCGACGGCCGAAGAGGAAGCAGAGGAACCAGCAGAAGACCAGCCUGAGUAGAUCCACUACGGCGAGGAACCAGAGGAACCUGCAGAAGACCAGCCUGAGUAGAUCCACUACGGCAAGGAACCAGAGGAACCUGCAGAAGACCAGCCUGAGUAGAUCCACUACGGCGAGGAACCAGAGGAACCUGCAGAAGACCAGCCUGAGUAGAUCCACUACGGCGAGGAACCAGAGGAACCUGCAGAAGACCAGCCUGAGGAGAUCCACUACGGUGAGAGACUUCUCCAAACUUCGGCUCAAAGAGACCCCAGCUGCAGCCCUGGACAGGGAACAGGGGCAGGAGAGUGAAUACGCUGAAGUCAGUGUGACCGGGAGAGGGGCCCAGGAACCUCCAGUUAACGACCUAGAUUUGGUUUACUCACAAGUGGAUAAGAAAAGUGCAUUUGAAGUAUUUUUGGUAUGUACAGUAUGUAUUGAGUAUUUGUUUUCUAAUUGGCAGAUUUUUUUAUUUCUAACUUUGUGCAACUCAAUUAUUUGCAUAUUUGUUGAAUUUUCUGAUGUGAAAAGUGCUUAACUGAUUAAGUGUGGGUUCCACAAGCUAUAGCGAAUUCACAUGAUUGUGCAACUGAAGGCAGUUUAAAGCCAUAUAAAGUCAACUAUGACUGCAUUGCUCGCUCUCUGGGGUUUUACGCUCGGUUUCUGUAUAAGCACUUUGUGACAACUGCUGUUGUAAAAAGGGCUCUAUAAAUACAUUAAAUGGUUGAUUGCUUGAGGAGAGACACAAAAUUAGCUGGAGACAGUGGUUUGAAACAAGACAGGAAGUUGGUGAAGUAAGUGUAAAUAGCCUGACUGAUGAUCAAAUCUAUUGGUCACAGUUUCCCUUUUCUUUAAUACAGUUAUCUUUAUAAUAUUAUAUACAGUCCAUGUAUCUUUUUAGGAGUUAUCAUGUUAUCAUUUUAUGUUGAGUGUUGAUCAAAAGACACAAUUGAGGCAGAUUUUGAGGAUGUUUAUUAAUUGCAUCGUAAUAAAAACGUUUAAAUGAAAUUUCCAUUGAAU